AGAGUUUGAUCCUGGCUCAGAGCGAACGUUAGCGGCGGGCCUAACACAUGCAAGUCGAGCGAGAAAGGGGCUUCGGCCCUGAGUAAAGCGGCGGACGGGUGAGUAACACGUAGGUAAUCUUCCCUUGAGCGGGGGACAACGAGCCGAAAGGCUCGCUAAUACCGCAUACGUUCUUUGGGACUCCGGUCCUGAAGAGGAAA
rnacentral:rRNA from 1 species